UUUGUAAUUAAAAAAUAAUUAUUAAUUUAAUUCUCUCUAUUUUCAUAUUUUCUGAAAAAUAUAUAUAAACUCCGGUUUAUCCAAUUACCUUACAGGUGAAUAUUAAAUGUAAUAUUCAAUACUUUUUGUAAUAGAUAAUAAACCAGUAUAUUCAUUGGAUUUUAUUAUCUCUUAAUGAGGUUUUUAACCUUUAAUUGAACAUAUAUAUAUAUGUGAGUGUGUGU